GUUGAGUUGAGUUGAGUUGAGUUUAAUAUUUUUUAGUAAAAAGGAAAAAAAGAAAAGAAAUAAUUUAUUACAAAAAUGGGUGUAAAUUGAUAUAUGAAACUAAUAAAUGUUCUGAAUUAAAUGUUCUAAGAAAUAGAUUUUCAAAUUGUAUAAAACAAAUCCCUGAGGUUAGGCAAAAAACACAACUUAUUCUUGUUGUUUGAAAGCCUAACGAUUACAUCCCCAAUGUUUAAUUCCUUUAUUUUGGAGGGAGAAGGAGAGACAAUGGCAUGGGCAAUUUUAGAAUUCAAAUUUAUUUUAGGGUUUGACUUAUUCUUUUGUUUUUUACUAACAAUGAUUUGGAUUGAUUUUGGAUGGAGGGACCAAUUUGUUGACGGAAUUAGGAAGAAAAACAGGGACUUAAUUUUUUUAUUUUUGUUUUUUUUGGCAAACUCGGAUUUUUCUGCAAAAUAUCUUUAAAAUUAUGAUAUUUAACUGUGAAUCUGAAUAGAAACCUAUUACACAUUAGAGUUCUAAAAUUAUAAAAACACCAUUGCACAUUGGGGCUAAAAA
rnacentral:misc_RNA from 1 species